rnacentral:rRNA from 1 species
UACGUAGGGUGCAAGCGUUAAUCGGAAUUACUGGGCGUAAAGCGUGCGCAGGCGGUUUUGUAAGUCUGUCGUGAAAUCCCCGGGCUCAACCUGGGAAUUGCGAUGGAGACUGCAAGGCUAGAAUCUGGCAGAGGGGGUAGAAUUCCACGUGUGAGCAGUGAAAUGCGUAGAGAUGUGGAGGAACACCGAUGGCGAAGGCAGCCCCCUGGGUCAAGAUUGACGCUACAUGCAC